rnacentral:lncRNA from 1 species
UUCGCCCACUCCAACAUCCAAGGAAGCGGCGCUGAGACUCUCAGCCUCGCCUCCGCUGCGCCGGACCCACACUGGCCUUCCUCCCUCGCCUUCCAAGAGCGCGCUCCCGCCUCUCCGCCUCGCUGGCUUGUCACUUGCCCGCUCCCUGGGCAGCCCCACUGGCAAAGCAACGCGGCCCUGCUUGGCUCGCCAGCGCCUCCUGCCGGGCGCAGGAGGAACAGCCGGCCCCUCUCUUGCUCCUGUCACUGCGGCGCCCUCUACACGGCCAUACACAGGCGGUCCCCAAGUUAUGAACAAGAUACAUUCUGCACUGCAAGCACGGCCAAGAAAUGAUUGGCACAGAUACUUGAAGAACGGAGCAGCCACAUUUUGCUUUGGCUAAUUUCUUCUUCUUCCUGACCUCUCUAGGUCCUCCGGUCCUAUACACGUAUGUAUGCUUCUGCCCUAUGAAUAGUUAAAAUAUAGGCUACCCUGUUAAGUGUGGAUACCGAGGUCAUACUGUAUUCACUAUAGCCACAGUUGGUUCACUUCUAUUUGCAGUAUGUCCAGUUAGAAUCAGACAUGUUAAUUACAAACAUUUAUUGAAUGACAUCAAAUAAGAUGGUUUUGUUAAUUGGUUUAUAUAUCAGAAGUGAUGAUAAAAUGCUAAUAAUAUACACAUUAUAUUUCUGUCUCUAUUGGAAAACCAUAGUUUCAUGCAGACUUUGACCUAAUUUCAAGACAGUGGGUGAACUCUGGCUGAUUUUUAGCCAAGCUAAUGUGGCUCUCAACAGGAAAAACAGGAGAGCAAGAAGGGAGUCAUCAUGCCUGAUUUAAAUAGCUGUAAGGUUAUGAAGUUUACUUAUCCAUAUCAGGUUGAAGUUACACUUGAUAUAGGACCACAAGUUUAGGAUUGCUGACCCAAGACAUUUCCGGUACUGGUUAAGUCACUUCCUUAAAAUUUGCGGAUGAGGCAGUGACUGAAGUGACACUCUAAGUUUGACUGUUGCCAUUAGGGACCACUUUGCACAGCUGUAUGUCAGGGAAGGAAAAAGUCUGAAUUUAUGGAAGAAAGCUGUUUAGGGAGACAUUUGGGUAAUGAUAGCUGCAAGGAGAUUUCUUUAAACCUAAGGAAGGACCCCAUUCAAUUUUUCAAAGCCUGGUGGCACAAAGAUUGCUGAUGGAAGGAGAGCAAGGCAGAAGCCAUCCUGUCCACCAUGGAAAGGGAUUCACAAAGACUGGGAGCAGUUACUGAGAAGUCCCUCUCCCUUGUUCCCAUCACAUGGACGAAGGAAGGCACUGGGACAAAGAUAUGGGCCUUUCCAGAGCUCUAACUGGCUCAUACAGGGAGAAUCGGUUCUCCAAAUAGACUGGACCUAAGCCAUAUAGGCUUAGGUCCAGCACUUACCAGGAUUUUUAAUUAUGUCUGGAAACAGACCAUGACCCAGUGGAGCUGCUGCAACAAGGAAGUUAUGCAUUCCCUGUAGCCAGCCCAUUAGCAAUCUGGCUCCAUUUGUUUGGAGCAAUUGAAGUUUCUGAACACAUUCCAAAGGCACAUUACAGUAAUCCAGAUGGGAUGUACCAAAGGCAUGUGUUACCAUGGCCAGAUCCAACUUCUCCAAUAUACUGUAGACUUGAUGCGCUGUGCAAAUGAACUCCUGGUCAUUACUGAAACUUGGGCAUCCAGAUUCAGAGAUGAAUGCAUGUGUGUAACUUAAAAUGUGAACCUGAAUUUCAAGGGGGUAUAGCUCCACCUGGGAAUUCCGUUUUCUAGAUCUGUCUUUCAGCAGACCAAAAGCACCUCCCUCUUGUCUUGAUUAAGUUUUAAUUUGCUUGCCCUCAUCCAGUACAUUAUAGCCUCUAGGCACCCAGUUAGCACAGGAGCAGCUUCCUUGGAAUUGGCUGCAAAGCAGUAAUGGAGUUGGAUAUCAUCAGCAUAUUGGUGACACUGACCUCAAAACCCCAGUCAACCUCUCCUAGAGGACAAGAAGGAAGCCUUUAGCACCACACUCUGAGAGUCUCCUCUGAGAAAGUAUGGAGCCAAUGUAGAACAGUACCUCCAAGCAGGAGGACCCGAUGGUGAUAAUACUGAAAGUCACUGAGAGGUCCAGCAGAACCAACAGGGAAGCACUCCUCCUGUCCCUUUCCCAGCACAGGUCAUCCAUCAAGGCAACCAAAGCUUGCCUCCAUCCCAUCCCAUAACUGGAACUGAAACCAAACUGAAAUGGAUCUGGAUAGUCCAUCUCAUCCAGGAAUCCCUGUGCUCUAGUGCAGUGCUUCUCAAACUGUACUCUUUGAGGUGUUUUGGAUUUCAGCUCUUUGAAAGCAUACCCAGCUUCCCAGCUAUUAGGAAUUGUGGGAGCUGAAGUCCAAAACAUCUGCGGGAGCACAGUUUGAGAAACUCUGCUCUAGUGCAUUGCCCAAAAGUUGGGGACUGGUCUAUAAUAAUCCAGUAUAGCAGGACAUACUAGUGAGGUUUUUUAAUGAUCUUAGAGUAGCCUCUUUUGAGACAAGUUGGGAUUCUACCUUGUCAUCCAAUGAAAUCAGUCACUCUCCUUACUUCUUCGGCCAAUUGUCUCCAUGAAGAGCAAAAGUCCAACAUUCUUGUAGUGGCUCUUGCCUUUCUAAGGAUCCUAUCCCCAUCCUCAGUCUUCCUAAAUUGAAAAGCAUUCAUCAAAACUGGGCAAGCAGAGGCCAAAUUAACAUCCACUGGACCUUUUAUCAUCAUUUUCUCUAUGAUUAUUAUUAUUACUACUAUGAUUACCUUUAUUUAUAUCCUGCCUUUCUCUCCAUGGGGACUCAAGGCAAGUAACAUCUAGCUACACAAUACAGUUUAAAAAGAGCAAUAUAAAAGUUAAAAACAAUUAAAUAGUAACAGUGUGGUAAAAACAGAAUUACAAUACAGUGUAACCAUUUUAGUUGAUUAUCAGACAAUAGCAAAACAUGCUAUCCUUUGUUUUAACCCAGCAAGUGACUGAAACCUUGCUGGACUGUUUUGUCAGGUGGUAAAGAAAAAGUGUGUGUAAAAUGGAUCUAUAUAUUAAUUGAACCAUAUUUAUUCAUAUUGAUAUAGGAAAACAAUAAUAGACAGCUAUAAAUAUAUAAACAUUAUUUUUAGUUCCCAUCUGCUGCCAAACUAUCCACAAUUAGUAAAUGCAGUACACUUCCUAGUCUAGAGACCACUCUUCAGAAUACAUCAAUGAAAGUUAAAACACAUGCUUUGGGGGAUACAUCUGCUCUUGAUCUGCAGCAUUCUGCAGUCAACACAAAUAUUUUUGCUAUUUUCCCUUUAACUAUUAGUAAUCAGCAAGUCAGGGGUGUGAUGUAAUGGAAGAGCAAGAA